UGGCACAUUCGUAUUUCAUUUUCGUUAGCAAAACUCAAACACAAGACUCUUAUCAUUCUUGCAAUUUCGGCUCAAUAGCCACACACAAAGAGCAAUAUUUUAAUUUACUUAAAACAUGAUCUAAUCAAAUCAUAAUUUAAGCUCUUUUACUCAAGAACUUACCUCGGAUGUUGUCGAACGAUUCCGAUAGCUAUUCGACCACUUUUUCCUUCCCUUUAUUGGAUUUAGUUCCCCUUUGCUCUUGAGCUUAAUUAAACAAAUAAAUUGAUUUAAUCAUUUGAGCAUCGAAAAGAGGAACACAAGGCACUUAGCCCAUAUUUAUACAUUAGACAUUAAAGUCACAUAUGUACGGAAAUCAUGAAUCAAACUCAACAUUUUAGCUAAUUUUCCCCCUUGGCCGAAUUUUCUAAGCCAAGACAAAAGCAUCAAUAUGCUUGCCUCUAACCGAAUACAUGCAACACCAAUCUCCUUCCUAUGGCCGAAUAUGCAUGUCUAUGUUGGGGCCGAUUGCAACACUUAAUACAUUCUACAAGCAUGGUCACUUGUAUUGACUAAACACCAUUUUGUUUCAAGUUCAAAACUUGGCUAAUACACACAUAUAUACACUAGUAAAGCAUCCUCUCCCUUUCCAUCAAUUUAACACAUGCAUUACUCAUUAAUAUACAAAAAUUAUAUUCGGCCUUAGCACACAACUUGCUAGCCGAUUCUUCUCCAUCUAGCAACCAAUGCACAUAUGUGCUCACUCAAAAAUGCUAAAAAGAAGAUUCAAGAAUCAUCAAUCCACCAUCACAUGCAUCAUUAACAAGCUUCAUAUUUAGCAUGCAAUGGCAUUAACACAAAAUCCACCUAGGCCAAAUAUCAUCCCCAUGACAUAGCAAAGAUUUGAACCAUGGGCUAAUUAGAACUCAAGCUAGCAACUAAAAACAUGCAUGAAUCUCAUGGCACAACCUCAAACUUACCUUGAUCUAGAUACAAGUAUGGCCAAACCUCCUCCUAAUCCUCUUCCAAACCAAACAUGAAGCAAGAACUCCUUCCUCAUUCCUUAGAAUUUUCGGCCAAAAGAAGAUGAAAAAAAGAUGAACAAAAUUUUUUCUUUUAUUUUCUUUUACUCACGGCAAUGGGGGGAAACAACCACACACCUUUUUUUUUGUUUUCAUCAUAUUUCCUUUCAUUAUUUUAUGCCCAUGCUCCUUAUUUUAUUGUUUCCACCCAUGAUGCACCAACACAACAUGUCUAUGUCAUGUCUUGCCCAUCACACUUGGUCUACCAUGCUUGUCAUGGCCGACCACUACUAAUAGAGGGGGGAAAUUGACAUGCAAGUCCCCCCUUUUUUUUCAACAUGCACUAAUAGGUCCUUAUGCUUUGACCUAUCACAUUUCAAAAUUUUCUCACAUAAGUCCUAUUUACUAAAACUCACAUGCAAUCGACUAAAUCGAAGCUUGAAAUUUUCA
rnacentral:lncRNA from 1 species